rnacentral:rRNA from 1 species
GUGCAGCAGGCGCGAAAACUUUACAAUGCUGGCAACAGCGAUAAGGGGACCUCGAGUGCCAGGAUACAAUCUUGGCUGUCCUAAUGCCUAAAAAGCAUUAUAUAGCAAGGGCCGGGCAAGACCGGUGCCAGCCGCCGCGGUAACACCGGCGGCUCGAGUGGUAACCGCUAUUAUUGGGUCUAAAGGGUCUGUAGCCGGCCGGAUAAGUCUUUUGGGAAAUCCAGCUGCUCAACAGUUGGGCUUUCAGAAGAUACUGUUCGGCUCGAGACCGGGGAGAAGUGANAAGUACUUCAGGGGGUANGGG